AUUGAACGCUGGCGGCAGGCCUAACACAUGCAAGUCGAGCGGAUGAAGGGAGCUUGCUCCUGGAUUCAGCGGCGGACGGGUGAGUAAUGCCUAGGAAUCUGCCUGGUAGUGGGGGAUAACGUCCGGAAACGGGCGCUAAUACCGCAUACGUCCUGAGGGAGAAAGUGGGGGAUCUUCGGACCUCACGCUAUCAGAUGAGCCUAGGUCGGAUUAGCUAGUUGGUGGGGUAAAGGCCUACCAAGGCGACGAUCCGUAACUGGUCUGAGAGGAUGAUCAGUCCCACUGGAACUGAGACACGGUCCAGACUCCUACGGGAGGCAGCAGUGGGGAAUGUUGGACAAUGGGCGAAAGCCUGAUCCAGCCAUGCCGCGUGUGUGAAGAAGGUCUUCGGAUUGUAAAGCACUUUAAGUUGGGAGGAAGGGCAGUAAGUUAAUACCUUGCUGUUUUGACGUUACCAACAGAAUAAGCACCGGCUAACUUCGUG
rnacentral:rRNA from 1 species